UACGUAGGGUGCGAGCGUUGUCCGGAAUUAUUGGGCGUAAAGGGCUCGUAGGCGGUUUGUCGCGUCGGGAGUGAAAUCCACUGGCUUAACUGGUGGCUUGCUUUCGAUACGGGCAGACUGUAGGUAUGCAGGGGAGAACGGAAUUCCUGGUGUAGCGGUGAAAUGCGCAGAUAUCAGGAGGAACACCGGUGGCGAAGGCGGGUCUCUGGGCCGAUAUUGACGCUGAGGAGCGAAAGCGUGGGGAGCGAACAGG
rnacentral:rRNA from 1 species